rnacentral:rRNA from 1 species
UACGUAGGGUGCAAGCGUUAAUCGGAAUUACUGGGCGUAAAGCGUGCGCAGGCGGUUAUGUAAGACAGUUGUGAAAUCCCCGGGCUCAACCUGGGAACUGCAUCUGUGACUGCAUAGCUAGAGUACGGUAGAGGGGGAUGGAAUUCCGCGUGUAGCAGUGAAAUGCGUAGAUAUGCGGAGGAACACCGAUGGCGAAGGCAAUCCCCCGGACCUGUACUGACGCUCAUGCACGAAAGCGUGGGGAGCAAACAGG